AGAAUAGAGGAAAACUUUCAGGACUCAUGGAGAGCUGAAAUGUUCAUGAAUAUCAAGCAGAAGAGGAAUUAACUACAUGGACUGAACUAAUAGAAGACUAAAGUAAUCAUUUUGACUUUCUGCUUAAAACAUUGCUGAUUAUUUGUUUUGUUUUUCAGUGUCAAGGAAACUUUUCUUUGAGCUAUUGACAGCUUUUAAUAAUUAGGUGUACUUCUAUGAACAAAAUUUGGAGCACAUUUAUUUCUCUCCACCCAAUUUCUCCAGAAUUUGGAAACUAUUUGCUGUACAAGCAUGCCAUCAGCAUCUGGCAGGCUUCUGAUGAGGCUUCAUGAAGCUUUCACUUGCAGCAGAAGGCAAGGGGAACCAGUGUGUCACAUGACACAAAGAGAAGAAUACCAUCUAGGAACCAGGAAGCAGGCCCUCACCAGACACAAACCGCAGGAGCUCCCUCAGCCCAUAUGCAGAAGAGCCCAAAAGUACAGGGAGAAUUAACACCAUAGGGACAAACCUCAACCAAAGAUAUAACGGAUAAGGCAGGAGAUGAACAAAGCGUGUGGGUGCCCUCAAGAUGUGUAUGACUAUGGAACAGGAGACUGGAGGGACCCAUGGAUUCCAACCAUGGACCUGGUUCCCCCAGUAUGAGCCACAAGCCAGUUGAAUCUGAAUGCGAAGACGGAACGAGGACCAACUGGAGUCACACUGACAUCAACCCCCAUAACAUGGGGACAGAUCAAGAAAACCACACAGAAAGCUGAGAAACUGCUGGAGCACCAGGGUUUCACCUUUUGCUGGAACUCAGAGUGCCUGUCUCACUGACCCUAUGAAGGAGAAGGAUCUGCAGAGCACAUUCUCAGGACAUCUACCCAUGAGGCUGGUGGGACUCUUGUGAUUGCUACUUGAAUUGGAAUAAUCGGAACGGACACAUGUAAAAGGAAUGCAGAAGGACCAGACAGAUCUCUUCAAAUGUAAACCUAUGACUUAAAAUUCAGUUUCAUGAGCACUGUGGGAGACCUGAGUUUUUAACAGCUGGAGCCAAUAGUGAAGAUAGAUCUGGAAAUUUAAUUAUCCAUGAGUCCUGAGCCACCUUGUAGGAAGUCCAGUUAUCCUAAAGUCAGACUGCUGGAGAGACCAUGUGAAAACACUCCAUAGAAAUGGAGUUGUCCAAGGAGCCAGUUGUUCCAGCCCCCAGCUGACUGAGUCUUCCUAGCCUGGCAGCAGACAUGUGAGUAAGCAAGCCUUCAGAUGAUGCCAGCCCCAGCCGCUGUCUGACUGUAACUGCAUGAGAAAAGCUGAGCAAGAACUACCUAGAUGAGCCCUGUCAACCUCCACAACCAUGAGAGAUAAUAAUAAUGACCACUGUUGUUUAAACCACUAGGUUUUAGGGUGGUUUUCUAGGCAGCAAUAGAUAAUGGGAACAGACCGCUAGUCAUCCACUUAUCCUAAAGAAGGUUAGAUGACUUAUGUUUCAUAAAACCUUGUUGUAUUAGUCUGUCUUCCCACUGCUAAUAAAGACAUACCUGAGAUUGAGUAAUUUACAAAGAGAGGUUUAAUGGGCCCACAGUUCCACAUGGCUGGGGAGGCCUCACAAUCAUGGCAGGAAGGCAAAAAUACACAUCUUACAUGGCAGCAGGCAAAUAGAGAAUGAGCGCCAAGCAAAAGGGGUUUCCCCUUAAAAAACCAUCCGAUCUCACGAGAACAGUAUGGGGGAAACCGCCCCCAUGUUUCAAAUAUCUCCCACUGGGUCCCCUCACCCCUGUACCCCCCACACAACACGUGGUAAUUAUGGGAGCUAUGAGAUGAGAUUUGGGUGGGGACGCAACCAAUCCAUAUCACUUGUAAAAAAUCCCAUUUGUUAACUAAGAUAUACACUACCACCUUAAAGCAACAACACAGAACAACCACCCUUCAGGCCUUGAUAGAGUAUAAUCUCCAACAAUCUGCUCCGAACCCUAAUCAAAGGUUGAUAUGGUUUAGCUGUGACCCCACCCAAAUCUCAUCUUGAAUUGUAGUUCCCAUAAUCCCCACAGGUUGUGGGAGGGACCAGGUGGAGAUAAUUAAAUCAUAGGGGUGAUUUCCCACAUCCUGUUCUUGUGAUAGUGAGUUCUCACAAGACCUGAUGGUUUUAUAAGGGGCUUCCCCCUUCACUGGACACUCAUUCUUCUUGCUGCUGCCAUGUAAAGAAGGACAUGUUUGCUCCCCCUUCUGCCAUAAUUGUAAGUUUCCUGGGGUCUCCCCAGCCAUGCUGAACUCUGAGUCAAUUAAACCUCUUUCCUUUAUAAAUUACCCAGUCUCGGGUAUUUCUUCAUAGCAGCAUGUGAAGGGACUAAUACAAAGGUCUCAUUAAGUGAGGUGAUCUCACUGGAGAAGUGUUUGAAGGACUUGUACUCCUCUGGAUUUUCUAGAAGUAUUCUUUGAUUUAAUGACAAUUUUAGAAAGUUUCCAUCUCGAGCCAUGCUUCCUUGGUCUGUGUUAGAAUUGCCCUCAGUGAGUUGGGCUGUAGGUUAUGCUGCAGGUUUCGUGCUACAAGACAGCUUUAGGAAAGCUCCGUUGCAUUUGCUACAGGAUAUUCUUACAAAUAUCAUUGAGGACACUGUUUACCACAUCCAUCAAUGUCCCAGAUAUAAAACUCCAUACUAGAAAUUUCUUUUAGAGCUAAAUUCCAAUAAAAGCUUGAGAAACU